rnacentral:rRNA from 1 species
UUCCAGACUCCUACGGGAGGCAGCAGUGGGGAAUAUUGCACAAUGGGGGAAACCCUGAUGCAGCGACGCCGCGUGAGCGAUGAAGUAUUUCGGUAUGUAAAGCUCUAUCAGCAGGGAAGAAAAUGACGGUACCUGACUAAGAAGCCCCGGCUAACUACGUGCCAGCAGCCGCGGUAAUACGUAGGGGGCAAGCGUUAUCCGGAUUUACUGGGUGUAAAGGGAGCGUAGACGGCUGUGCAAGCCAGAUGUGAAAGCCCGGGGCUCAACCCCGGGACUGCAUUUGGAACUGUGUGGCUGGAGUGUCGGAGAGGCAGGCGGAAUUCCUAGUGUAGCGGUGAAAUGCGUAGAUAUUAGGAGGAACACCAGUGGCGAAGGCGGCUUACUGGACUGUAACUGACGUUGAGGCUCGAAAGCGUGGGGAGCAAACAGGAUUAGAUACCCGGGUAG